rnacentral:misc_RNA from 1 species
GUACCCUCAAGCUUUGCUUGGUGUUGGGCGUCUUUUGUCUCCAGUUCGCUGGAGACUCGCCUUAAAGUCAUUGGCAGCCGGCCUACUGGUUUCGGAGCGCAGCACAAGUCGCGCUCUUAGCCAGCCAAGGUCAGCGUCCAGCAAGCCUUUUUUCAAC